rnacentral:snoRNA from 10 species
CAGACCAAUGACAACAGAGUGCUAUAGACCAAAGAUAUUAAUUAAUCCAGUUCUGUGUCCCUGAAGUCCAUA